rnacentral:rRNA from 1 species
CCUACGGGGGGCAGCAGUGAGGAAUAUUGGUCAAUGGGCGGAAGCCUGAACCAGCCAAGUCGCGUGAGGGAUUAAGGCCCUGCGGGUCGUAAACCUCUUUUGCCGGGGAGCAGAGGUCCGGACGUGUCCGGGCAGGGAGAGUACCCGUAGAAAAAGCAUCGGCUAACUCCGUCCCAGCACCCGCGGUAAUACGGGGGAUGCGGGCGUUAUCCGGUUUUAUUGGGUUAAAAGGGUGCGUAGGCGGGCAUUAAAGCCGGCGGUAAAGUGUCGGGGCUAAACCCCGGCCUGCCGGCGAAACUGGAUGCCUUGAGUAGGCGAGAGGUAUGCAGAAUGCGUGGUGUAGCGGUGAAAUGCAUAGAUAUCACGCAGAACCCCGAUUGCGAAGGCAGCAAACCGGCGCCCUACUGACGCUGAGGUACGAAAGUGCGGGUAUCGAACAGGAUUAGAUACCCUAGUAGUC